UUCUUAUCAAGAGUGGCGGAGGGACUGGCCCUAUGAUGCCCGGCAACCUGGAUAUAGUGAAAUAUAUUCAAGGUGCUAAUUCCAACAGGAAUAUAUACCUGAAAGAUGAGAG
rnacentral:ncRNA from 2 species